UGGGGAAUUUUGGACAAUGGGCGAAAGCCUGAUCCAGCAAUGCCGCGUGUGUGAAGAAGGCCUUCGGGUUGUAAAAGCACUUUUGUCCGGAAAGAAAUCCUUGGCUCUAAUACAGUCGGGGGAUGACGGUACCGGAAGAAUAAGCACCGGCUAACUACGUGCCAGCAGCCGCGGUAAUACGUAGGGUGCAAGCGUUAAUCGGAAUUACUGGGCGUAAAGCGUGCGCAGGCGGUUUGCUAAGACCGAUGUGAAAUCCCCGGGCUCAACCUGGGAACUGCAUUGGUGACUGGCAGGCUAGAGUAUGGCAGAGGGGGGUAGAAUUCCACGUGUAGCAGUGAAAUGCGUAGAGAUGUGGAGGAAUACCGAUGGCGAAGGCAGCCCCCUGGGCCAAUACUGACGCUCAUGCACGAAAGCGUGGGGAGCAAACAGGAUUAGAUACCCUGGUAGUCCACGCCCUAAACGAUGUCAACUAGUUGUUGGGGAUUCAUUUCCUUAGUAACGUAGCUAACGCGUGAAGUUGACCGCCUGGGGAGUACGGUCGCAAGAUUAAAACUCAAAGGAAUUGACGGGGUCAUAGCUGUUUCCU
rnacentral:rRNA from 1 species